rnacentral:lncRNA from 1 species
GAAAGAAAACAUUUCUCGUCGAGCUUUUGAUGUCCUUUGCGUCGGUUCUUCAAGAAAGUAAUUUAUUUACCCGGAUUGGAACCAAGGAACAUUGUAUGUAAGGAUAAUAUAUUUAGGCUAUGUUUCCAACUAUGUUAGUGUCGUGUGCUCAAUUAAGAAACUAUAAUUCAAGGAGCGAAGCUUGGGUGUCAAGAAAAGAACCCACGCUAAAG